rnacentral:lncRNA from 1 species
CAAAUUUGCGUCUGUCUCCUACGUCGGAUGCCCAGUUUUCACCUUAUGUUGGUGGGAUGGCGUUUUCUCCCACCUCAUCUCCUGGGUACAGUCCAUCCUCUCCAGGCUAUAGUCCAUCAUCGCCUGGGUACAGCCCCACAUCACCUGGGUACAGUCCCACAUCUCCCGGCUACAGUCCCACAUCACCAGGUUACAGUCCGACCUCUCCCACAUAUAGCCCUAGUUCUCCAGGAUAUAGUCCUACAAGUCCGGCUUAUUCACCAACCAGUCCAUCCUACUCUCCCACAUCACCCAGCUAUAGCCCAACAUCACCCAGCUACAGUCCUACAUCACCCAGCUACAGCCCCACAUCACCCAGUUAUAGCCCGACUUCUCCCAGCUACAGCCCGACUUCACCUGCAUACAGCCCAACUUCACCUGCCUAUAGCCCCACUUCACCUGCUUACAGUCCCACUUCACCUUCAUACAGUCCUACGUCACCUUCAUACAGCCCCACUUCACCCUCUUACAGCCCUACCUCCCCAUCAUAUAGCCCUGCUUCCCCUGCUUACAGCCCCACUUCACCUGGAUACAGCCCUACGUCACCCUCAUAUAGCCCAACAUCCCCAUCGUAUAGUCCUACUUCCCCAUCGUAUAGUCCUACUUCCCCUAGUUACAAUCCCCAGUCAGCAAAGUACAGUCCUUCGUUAGCAUAUUCUCCAAGCAGUCCAAGAUUGUCUCCAUCAAGUCCAUAUAGUCCCACAUCCCCAACC